rnacentral:rRNA from 1 species
UACGACUACAUAUCAGGCAUAUCAAUAAGCGGAGGAAAAGAAACUAACAAGGAUUCCCCUAGUAACGGCGAGUGAAGCGGGAAGAGCUCAAAUUUGAAAUCUUCAAGGUUCUACCUUGACGAAUUGUAGUUUAAAGAAGUGUUUUCGGUUAGAGGAGUAGUAAAAGUUCUUUGGAAUAGGACAUCAUAGAGGGUGAGAAUCCCGUAUUUGACCUGUUCUUUCUAGCUGUGUGAUACACUUUCAAAGAGUCGGAUUGUUUGGGAAUGCAGUCCAAAAUGGGUGGUAAAUUUCAUCUAAAGCUAAAUAUUGGCGAGAGACCGAUAGCGAACAAGUACCGUGAGGGAAAGAUGAAAAGAACUUUGAAAAGAGAGUUAAACAGUACGUGAAAUUGUCAAAAGGGAAGCGUUUGACACCAGUGUUGUUUCUACGAAAAUCAAUUUAUGAUGGCUUGAUGCUAAGCUUUAAGACUUUAUCCGCUUGUUGUUUAGUUUUCUUGUCUUUGUGAAUGCACUUUUCGUGGAACAAGUCAACAUCAAUUUCUUUUGCUGUAAAAGGGUAAGAGGAAGGUGGCUUCGGCUUCGGUUGAAGUGUUUAUAGCCUUUUAUCUCUGCAGUCGGAGAGAUUGAGGUCUGCAGCGUAGACUCUUCGGGGUUAGAUACGUCGGUGCUAAGCUAUAGCUUUUCAUAGACAACUUGUUGACUAUGUUUAGUCAUGUGGCUUACCCGCUGGCGCUGUUUUACCUACGCUUAGGAUGUUGACACACGCGCGUGCUCG